rnacentral:sRNA from 1 species
UAUAUUCUGACCAUGUCAGCGACUGAUGA